rnacentral:rRNA from 1 species
AGCGGACGCUGGCGGCAGGCCUAACACAUGCAAGCCGAACGGAUCCUUCGGGAUUAGUGGCGGACGGGUGAGUAACACGUGGGAACGUGCCCUUUGGUUCGGAACAACUCAGGGAAACUUGAGCUAAUACCGGAUGUGCCCUUCGGGGGAAAGAUUUAUCGCCAUUGGAGCGGCCCGCGUCCGAUUAGCUAGUUGGUGAGGUAAAGGCUCACCAAGGCGACGAUCAGUAGCUGGUCUGAGAGGAUGAUCAGCCACAUUGGGACUGAGACACGGCCCAAACUCCUACGGGAGGCAGCAGUGGGGAAUCUUGCGCAAUGGGCGAAAGCCUGACGCAGCCAUGCCGCGUGAAUGAUGAAGGUCUUAGGAUUGUAAAAUUCUUUCACCGGGGACGAUAAUGACGGUACCCGGAGAAGAAGCCCCGGCUAACUUCGUGCCAGCCGCCGCGGUAAGAC